rnacentral:lncRNA from 1 species
AACGAAGAAGUUAUGAGAUUUCAAAAUAGGCGUCUCAAACAUGUUCAACACUUACAAAAAUUUUAUGAGUUUUAGAACUGGCGCCGCAUCGCUACCUUGAAAGACUGAGUCGCAGCACCAGCCCAGGGACUCAGCUACUACUAAUAUGCGCUACAGUGCCACUAAUAACUAAGGGAACCGGCGCUGCAGUUCCGGUACAGGAAAAAACUCGUAACUUCUUUUUUUUUUGCUAAGCUUGGUUUGUUUAUAAAAAGAAAAUAAAUGGCUAAGGGGCAUAUCCCAAGAUCUAGUAAAUUCAUCUGGUGACAGUCCAUCAGACGAGAGUACUACAAAGGGAAUGAAAUCUCAACAAAGAGGGUUCUAAGCGCAGGGUAGAGAGAGAAGCUCUUCCUCCUCUCUAGGAAACCCCCCUCCUUCUGCCUCCUUCUUCUUCUCUGGCACCCUCCUUUCCCCUCUCCUUCUUACGGCCCACCUACUAUUUUUUAAGUUUAGAUCUGGUCUCGAAGGGGAUUGGGGUUGUUUUGGGUUGUUUGGAUUCUCCAUUUUUCAUUUCUGCCUUUGUUUUCUCAUCCGGUCCACCCGCCUCCUCCUUCCUCCCUCCCUCCUCCUUUCGGCCCACCAUCCCUUCCACUUCCUCCGAUUGCCACUAAAAUCUUGCCCAGGUUCUGUUAUAGCCUUUCCGGCGGUUGUUUCAUGGACCUGCUCGAACCUCCUCUAGUAGAGGGCUUCGUUUCUGUGUGUGCUAGAAGUGGAGUCAUGAUCUAAAGUGAUGGAUCUUUUGUGGUUUUUGGAUUGAGGUUCCGGAUCUUGAUGGGAAUAUCUGGGUCUUUUGGCUCUGGCGGUUAUGGAUAUUUGGCUGAUCUGGGCUUUCGGCUCUCAUGGAGGCUUCCCAUCCUGAUAAUUUUUCGGAUUAACUGCUUUAUCCUCUUAAGUUAUCUGUUUAGGUGUUAUUGUUAGAUCUAUUUUUUAUAUUCAAAGGGGUUUAACUGAUUUAGGCAUCUUGCAUAUUUGAUGGGUUUGUCGUUCUUAUGCUUCCGAAUUGGUUUCGCCAGAAAAUCUGGUGCUGCUUUAGUUCCUGUAAGUUCCUGCCGGUAAAUUGGGGCGGUGUACUGUUUCUUGGGCUGUGCGAUGGGUCCCACGUUUUGCUGAUGUCUGCUGAUUGUUCUCACGUCUUUAAAGACUUGGCAGUUGGUCUGCAUAUGUUGCUCCUGCUGGCGUGUGCAGCUACCAUUGAUGGGCUGACAUUUGGGUCCCACACUCCUUAAUUCAAAUUGAUGGUGGUCCUUUAUGCAGUUGUUUUAUUCCUAAAUUUAGUUAAUUUCGGGUCUUUUUCCCAUGCGAGUCAAUUUUGGGCCCACGGGUUUGUAACUAAAUUUGUUGAUUUAAAUUACCUAACCUCGGGAUGUGAGGAAUUAUAAUUAGGUUACGUAAUUUUGUCUUUUAGGCUUUCGAGGUGUUUUAGCCCUCUCAGGAGAUGAGGUCUAUGCUUUGAUCUUCAUUAUAAUAUUUUUAGUUUUUGCUUUUAAUAUAGAAACAAAUUUAGCAACAAAAAAAAAAAUAUCCCAACAACAAAGGAGCUAAACAGCUUAAAAUAAUCAGUGCAUUAGCCAAUUAUAAUAAUAUGGGCUAAAAUUUGUGGCUAUGGUAAAAGUUUUACAAGUGGA